UGAAACCGUUUAGGGGUAAACCUGAGAAACCCGAAAGGUCGAAGGAAGAAAUUCAAUCGUGCCCAAUAAGGUUAUUGUGCAGUAUAUUUUGGUGUCGAAAAAUGAAUUCGUUCAUUUUUUGCCCUGCUGUAUGAUAUAUGUACCAUGUUGGACGCGUGCACUUUUCUUCUGGUAGGACGUCGCGAUCCGUUGAGUGUUGAUCUACGGUUUGAAUGGUAGCCCUUAAUGUAUCGGAUGCACCUUGUGUGUAUUCGUUUGUAUUAAGGACCUUUGUAACCUGAUCAACUGGCUCGACGGUAUAUUGUUAAUGGUUUUGGGCCGCUCAUUUUGAAGCGUUCGGCUUGUAGCAAGCACGUUAAAUGUUUUGGUACUACGGACCUAGUGCCGUGUCUGAUCCUUAACGUCUGUUGGCUGCUUUGUCUCGAACAGUGUCUCAAUUAAUAUAACCGAUCAGCGACGAUAUAGAUUUGGGUACUUUCAGGACCCGUCUUGAAACACGGACCAAGGAGUCUAGCAUGUACGCAAGUCAUUGGGAAUUACAAAACCUAAAGGCGCAAUGAAAGUGAACGUUUAUCUUUACGGUGAACGAUGGGAAGAUGGGCGGUUGAAUCUUAAUAGGAUUUACGUUCGGCAUUCCUGGGGCGUCUCAUUCUCAUUAUGAGAAGAGGCGCACCAUGAGCGUACACGCUGGGACCCGAAAGAUGGUGAACUAUGCCUGGUCAGGACGAA
rnacentral:rRNA from 1 species